rfam:Oryza glumipatula chromosome 6, whole genome shotgun sequence.
UUUAAGUGGAACCAUGAGUUUACGUGCUCAACUUGGAUCGUCCGUAUUAUUUGAAAACUUUUUAUAAUUAGUAUUUUUGUUGUUACGAGAUGAUAAAAUAUGAAUAGUACUUUAUGCGUGACUUAUGUUUUUAAUUUUUUUAAAUAAAAUUUCAAAUAAGAUGGACAAUCAAAGUUGAGCACGGAAAAACAUAACUGUAUUUAAA